rnacentral:rRNA from 1 species
GAUGAACGCUGGCGGCGUGCCUAAUACAUGCAAGUCGAGCGAACAGAUGAGGAGCUUGCUCCUCUGACGUUAGCGGCGGACGGGUGAGUAACACGUGGAUAACCUACCUAUAAGACUGGGAUAACUUCGGGAAACCGGAGCUAAUACCGGAUAAUAUAUUGAACCGCAUGGUUCAAUAGUGAAAGACGGUUUUGCUGUCACUUAUAGAUGGAUCCGCGCCGCAUUAGCUAGUUGGUAAGGUAACGGCUUACCAAGGCAACGAUGCGUAGCCGACCUGAGAGGGUGAUCGGCCACACUGGAACAGAGACACGGUCCAGACUCCUACGGGAGGCAGCAGUAGGGAAUCUUCCGCAAAGGGCGAAAGCCUGACGGAGCAACGCCGCGUGAGUGAUGAAGGUCUUCGGAUCGUAAAACUCUGUUAUUAGGGAAGAACAAAUGUGUAAGUAACUAUGCACGUCUUGACGGUACCUAAUCAGAAAGCCACGGCUAACUACGUG